GAAAAUCAUGGACGGCUCAUCGGAGCUUGGUAAGGACCCAAGGCUUCAAAGAAUUGCCGGAGAGAAGCCUGACAUGGACGUGAAACCCCAUUUAAGUACACCUCUGCUCAAGUCACCCUAGAAACAAAGUCCAAAUCUGGGACUCCAAAGGCCAUGCAUUGUGAUAAAUGACAGAUAGAGGUGUUCGAUGCCUUGAGAAGCCAUGAACGCCGGCGAAAUGGAGCUGGAGUUGGUUAGGGUUUGAAAGGGGCUGGAGAUUGUUUAGGGAUUCAAAGGCGGC
rnacentral:lncRNA from 1 species